ensembl:lncRNA
GGAGCUCAGAAGCUACUGCUAAGAAGAAAAUGAAAUGGGUCUUCAGUGUUGUAAAACUUGGGGGCUUUUUUUGUUUGUUUUUGUUUUUUGUAACAUUAGAUUUCAUUUACAGUACAUUUUUGAGUUAUAAGUAUCAGAUUUCUGGAACAUUUGAGCAUUCAAAGAAAGUAUCUCUUUAGGUGAAUGCAGGUCAGAUCAGAUUGAAGAGCAAGUAACUCCACUGUACUCUUUAGAUUAAGAAGGCCUUAUUGUGUGGCCAAAGAAUAGAUGGGGGCUGACUUGGGCUUGGAUUGAUAGCAUUGUGAACUCUGAAAUCUGGGGAAGGUGAUAGGAAUUCUGCACCCCUUGUUGCAACGUUUUCCCUAUCUAGAUAUGAGAGCAAGCUUUUCUUAGGCUUUAAAAUAUGCCCUGCAACAAGGAAAAAGAGCUAUUAAAGCGGUAGAAAAAAUAUUUGAGGAUUUGGAUGGAAACUGUAGAGUUUUCAUUGAGCUUUAAAGCAGUUGGAACUGGAAGAGUUCACCAUGAGUUUGGGGAUUCUUGGAUAGGGUUCCAAGGAGUGGGGAAAUGACAGAAGGAUUCUGUAGACGAGCGUGAAGCAAGAGCGUGUCCUUCCCCAGCCCUGCCAGGCUGUAUGAGCUGGGAUUUGCUUCGUUUGACAUGGAGCUUGCAGUGGUCACGGCCAAUAGCUGGUGUGAGCAGGGACCCAUACUGGAUUUGUCUUCUGUCAAACAGCAGACUAACCGGGAUGAUGAACUGGGGUUUGUUAAUCCUGAGGAAGAGAAACUUGAUUUUUUUACCUUAGCUAACAGCUCAUGCUUUCCUUGUCUUUCAAAUUCAAACUGGCUUUUCCUGAGAAUUGCCUUUUCUGAUAGGUUUUGUUAGAAUUCCAAGCCACGUUUCAUCAGGCUUACAGAAGAACACCUUCCCCAGCAAGGCAGGUCCCAUAGAAAGAAACCUAAAAUAUGCUCAGGACUGCAUUCGGGAUCCAGACAGUAAGACUGAACUGAAAAUUGUCUGUUUGGUCCUCUGUCUCACGCUGUUCUCUGCAUACCAAGUAAAGAGAUUUCUGACCCAAGUGUUAGUUCACCCUCUACAAACACAGCUGAUUGUGCUGCAGAUAAUAAAAUUCCCCGACUGUCUGGCCAGCUUUCAGGCAUUUACCCCGGGGCAUUUUACAAAUGCACCUCUGAUUUGCAAGGAGUUGAUCACCAGCAAUCUGAUACAACCGCUUUAGUUAUUGUUAUAAUGCCAGGCCACAGAUUAAUAUUUCUCCUUCCCAAAAGAGUAAGUUUUUAGAAACUUUUUAAAAACUUUUAUACUUUUUAUAACGCAUUUUGCUAACUCAGUCUUGUUUGCCAUUUAAUAUAUUAGUCUAGGAGCUACUGCUCUGUAAUUGUGGCCCCGUCGCUGCCAUCGAGAACUCAUAACUGGAUGGAUCUUUUAGUCUUUGUGUAGUUGGUUGGGAUGCGAUGCAGCUGUCAGAGCAGCAUUUACAUUCUCAGCAUUGUUAGACAGUCAGCUAUAAUUGUAACCAUUGUACGGCCUCUUCACUGAUAGUCCAGCUCACCAGAUAUACUAAUAAACACAUUUUAUUUUCAGCCAUUGGGGAUCUGCUGAGUGGUUUGGUUUAAAAUUCUGCUGGGGAAGUAUUGAUUAGUGUUGGUUUUUUUGUUUGUUUGUUGUUUGUUUUUUCCUCCUCAGUCCUCCUUUCACAUAAUUCCUGUGCACCAUAACUGUGUAUUUCAGAUUUGCCUUUUUCUUUCCAUCCGGUGUACACAGAGCUGAUAUCCUGCUACUAUCCUGCCACACUCCCUGGUUUUUGUUCGUGGGAUUUUUGUUGGUUGUUUUUGGUUAGUUGGUUGGGCUUUGGGUUUUUUUUUAGCAACUGUUUACCUCAUUAAUUGGAAAACACUAAGAAAACAUUUUUGCACUUAAUGUCAUUUGAAGCUCUUGUAAUUUAGAGAGCUCUUAGUUAUAUUACAAGAACUUCUUUGUAUUGAAAGAUGUACUUCUGAAUGAACUUCUGGAGUGCAAGGAGGUGACAGGUGUCUUCUUAGGUGCUCAAAAAUGACUGAGGAAAAGUAGCUUAAAUGACUUUUUGGAAACUCCUUGAGGUUUUGCUUUUCUUAUUUGUUUAAAAGAGAAAAAAAGAAAAAAAAAGUAGUUAAUCUCAUUUGCAUUAAUGGAUUUGUUUUAAAGCCUUUGUACACUGCUGCAUGAAGUAAUCUUUUUUUUAAUUCUAAAACUAAUUAAAAUUUGGUUAUGACAAACAUUAAUGAGUUGUGAGGAUUUUUUUUAUAUAUAUAUCUAAAAUCCUAGCUAUGUUGACUGAGAGCUGCUUAACUUUAUGGGACAUUUUCAUGUGCAAGUACAGAAGAAAUGUCAAGGACUUGCUUUUGUUUUUGUUAAUGGGCUGCUUGUUCCUAUAUUUCCUCUGCCCUCCCACCCAUUUAAUUGUGUUUGUGUAAUACAUUAAUGUCUGGAAAAAAAUAAAUCCAGCUUAGAAUA